AUAUUAAAAAAAUAAUAAAAAUAGAGAAGUCUCUCCCUCUCAUCUCUAUUACACAAAAGGAGAGGUUACAGAAAUGCAGGGCAAUGAAGCCAGGGUCUUGCUAGGCUUCCCUCCCAAUUCCCGCCCCACCGCCUCCCAGGUUAAAGCUGCUUACAGAAAGAAGGUAUGGGAAUCUCAUCCUGACCUUUUUCCCGUUCACGAAAAGCCUAGUGCUGAGUCCAGGUUCAAGUUGAUUUCAGAAGCUUACACUUACCUGCUGUCUGGUAAUUUUCUCCUGUCUGCAUAUGUUAUGAGACAAAUCAAAGAGUAUUCCCAAGUGAUCAUGGUUUGCAAAAUCCCAAAUGGACUGUAAAGAAGUUAUUGGAUAAACUUGCAACUCGGAGUUUGAUGCUUAAGAUAUUUGAUUUAUUUAUAUUAUAAACUUUUAGAAAUGGAUUGUCAAACCAACCAUAUCAUUCUGUUUCCUGUCUAACUGUUGAGAUAUAUCCUGACUCUGUUGAUUAUGCGUUUCUUGUGUUUUAUUUAUUUAUUUUUUUUUUUGGUUUUUUUAAUCAUUAUUUAUCUUUUUGAGUGCCAAUAUGCCUGUUACUGUAGUUUUGAUAAUUUGCUCUGGUUUGCUUAAGAGAGGCCUCCAAUGGUUUUGAGGACAAUACAUAAAUCAAGCAAGAUGUGGGGGGUCAUGCAACAGGAAAGUUGCACUUGACGAAGCCACGAAGGACUUCCAGCGUGUCAAAAAACUAAAGGCUAUAAAAUUAUUACUGCUAAUUGCCAAAUUAUUCAAGGGAUGCCCUCACUUCGGUCAACAGGAUAUGUAUCAUACAUCCACUGGAACUUAUUGUUCCCCCGUCCUCUCUAUGUGGCUGCUUACUUUCUAAAUCCAACUUUCUGUUAUCAUCGAGAUUUCAUAAUGAAUCCUGAGGUUAUUCAUGGUCUAAACGAAUGUAUCGUGCUGCUGGAAGUUGACAACUGAAAAACAAUUUCUGCAUCUAUGCAGGUAGUGGUCUUCUGUGUUUUGUUGUUCUAUGGUGUGAUAAUUGAGGUCAGGCCUAAUGCUAUAGCAUUUUAUUUGCCUCCUUAAUGUUUCAAAGUCAAAAAGAGAAGCCAAUGUAAGUGGUGAGGUGACAUUUUUUCCUUAUUUUCAUUUGUCAAGCUCAAGUGCAUAUUUGUCGCUUAUUUUGGAACAGAUAUAGUAAUUUAGUUUUUAUAUACAAGGAUCACAUGGGUAGAAUGUAGGCGUAAGACUUGAAUAAUUUGUCUAAUCAUUGAGAGUGCCAUUCCAUUUA